CCUACGGGAGGCAGCAGUGGGGAAUUUUCCGCAAUGGGCGAAAGCCUGACGGAGCAACGCCGCGUGGGUGAUGAAGUCUUUCGGGACGUAAAACCCUUUCAGCAGGGACGAACAAAAUGACGGUACCUGCAGAAGAAGCAUCGGCUAACUACGUGCCAGCAGCCGCGGUAAUACGUAGGAUGCGAGCGUUGUCCGGAUUUAUUGGGCGUAAAGCGAACGUAGGCGGUUUCUUAAGUUUGGUCUUAAAGACCGGGGCUCAACCCCGGGGAGUGGACUGAAUACUGGGAGACUAGAGGAUGUUAGAGGAAAGUGGAAUUCCAAGUGUAGCGGUGAAAUGCGUAGAUAUUUGGAGGAACACCAGUGGCGAAAGCGGCUUUCUGGGACAUUUCUGACGCUGAGGUUCGAAAGCUCGGGGAGCAAACAGGAUUAGAUACCCUGGUAGUCCGAGCCGUAAACGAUGGACACUAGGUGUCGGGGGUAUCGACCCCCCGGUGCCGUAGCUAACGCGUUAAGUGUCCCGCCUGGGGAGUACGGUCGCAAGACUGAAACUCAAAGGAAUUGACGGCUGAGCNGCGAGCACACGAGGAGAG
rnacentral:rRNA from 1 species